rnacentral:rRNA from 1 species
GACGAAAGUCUGACGGAGCAACGCCGCGUGAGCGAAGAAGGCCUUCGGGUCGUAAAGCUCUGUUGUUAGGGAAGAACAAGUACCGGAGUAACUGCCGGUACCUUGACGGUACCUAACCAGAAAGCCACGGCUAACUACGUGCCAGCAGCCGCGGUAAUACGUAGGUGGCAAGCGUUGUCCGGAAUUAUUGGGCGUAAAGCGCGCGCAGGCGGUCUCUUAAGUCUGAUGUGAAAGCCCCCGGCUCAACCGGGGAGGGUCAUUGGAAACUGGGAGACUUGAGUGCAGAAGAGAAGAGCGGAAUUCCACGUGUAGCGGUGAAAUGCGUAGAGAUGUGGAGGAACACCAGUGGCGAAGGCGGCUCUUUGGUCUGUAACUGACGCUGAGGCGCGAAAGCGUGGGGAGCGAACAGGAUUAGAUACCCUGGUAGUCCACGCCGUAAACGAUGAGUGCUAAGUGUUAGAGGGUUUCCGCCCUUUAGUGCUGCAGCAAACGCAUUAAGCACUCCGCCUGGGGAGUAC